rnacentral:misc_RNA from 1 species
CCGAGUAUGCCCUUCUGGGCGGACCUCCAACCCACUGUAUACUACUUUUGUUGCUUUGGCGGGCCCGCGCAAGCUACUGGCUUCGGCUGGUAAGUGCCCGCCAGAGGAAACUAAACCCUUACAAUUUUUGUUUUGUCUGAAAAAAGUAAAUAUUUA